rnacentral:ncRNA from 2 species
CGACCGCCGCGUGGCGAUUUGUUACCGGAUUGCGGGCCACGUUAAACAUGCCGCUAAAGAGGUCAUACGGAAGAGCCC